rnacentral:lncRNA from 1 species
GGAGUAUUAUAUAAGUAUAUAUAUAUAAUAUAUAUGUCUAUAUAUAUAAUAUAAUAUAAGUAUAAUCUUAAGGAAACUAAGCCUAGUUUCACACAGCUACAAAGUAUCUGCAGGAUUUGAACUUGUCUUCAAAUCCAGCAUCCUGUCUACUGUUCCACCUAGGUAAGAUCUAUGUGGCAUUUAAAAGUUUGCAAAGCAUAUUAAAAAUAUUGUCUCAUUUGAUCUUCACAGAAAUUUUGGGAGGUGUUAUCAUUACACUCAUUUUAGAGAUGAAGAAACUGAGACAAAGGAGGUGAAAGGAUUUCAUCAGGGUCAUACUACAUCCAAGAUUUUUUUGGCAUCAUCAUUUUAUUCAUCAUAAUACCCAUCAUCAAUUCCAUGAAAGUCUGUCCAAUCCUGAUGGCUCAUUUUAUCCUGGAAUAUGCCUUAAGUCCUCAAAAGUCAGACUCUGGCAGAUCAUGAAUGAUCAUCUGAGAACCUACCUAAGAUGGGACAAGCCUACCUAUGUUUAUCAGAACUCACUUUUUUUUUUUAGCCACAGCAACUUGUGAAGCCAUCCUACAGAAGGAUUUUUAUCUGAAAUGUAAAAGAGAACCCAGACUGAUGGAAUCAUAGAUCUUCUGAUGUACAGUAAUUAACCAAUCAGUCAAAUGAGAAUUUAUAACAUACCAAUUACUAACUUGGUGUGGCACUCUUUUUAAACUAAAGGGGCCAAAAGGGAAAUGUGACAUAAUUAUCCACAAGCAGCUUGCAAUCAGAGAGGUGCUACGAUCUGGGAAAAAACAAACAAACAAACAAACAAAAAGAUCAAAUAGACUUGGAGUCAGGAGUCAGAUCUUAUUAUCAAUUCCUAGUUGUGUGGCCUAGAACCAGUUCACUUAUCUUCUAAGCUUAUUUCCUCAUCUCAGAAUCAGAAUCACAGAAUAUCAGAAAGGUAUCAUCAUAAAGUCUAAACUAAGCCCUUUAUCAUACUGGCACCCUCCUCUGAACUCUUAAUGAAGUCAAGUAUUUAUUAAGGGGGAAGGGAAGGUAAUAUUCAUUUAUAAAAUGCCUACUAUGUGCCAGACACUAUGCUAUGUGCUUUACAAAUAUUAUCUCAUUUGAUUCUCAAACAAC